rnacentral:misc_RNA from 1 species
GAUGAAGAACGUAGCGAAAUGCGAUAAGUAAUGUGAAUUGCAGAAUUCAGUGAAUCAUCGAAUCUUUGAACGCACAUUGCGCCCGCCAGUAUUCUGGCGGGCAUGCCUGUUCGAGCGUCAUUUCAACCAUCAAGCCCCCGGGCUUGUGUUGGGGACCUGCGGCUGCCGCAGGCCCUGAAAAGCAGAGGCGGGCUCGCUGUCACACCGAGCGUAGUAGAUUUUAUCUCGCUCAGGGCGUGCUGCGGGUUCCGGCCGUUAAACCACCUUCAUAACCCAAGGUUGACCUCGGAUCAGGUAGGAAGACCCGCUGAACUUAAGCAUAUCAAUAAGCGGAGGA